UCUUUAUCGAGAGUGGUGGAGGGAUAGGCCCUGUGAAACCACAGCAACCGAUUCGCCGGCGCGAAUGUCAGGUGCUAAUUCCUACCCCUUCAACAGGGGAGAGAUGAGGA
rnacentral:ncRNA from 2 species